rnacentral:rRNA from 1 species
UGAGGAAUAUUGCACAAUGGGGGAAACCCUGAUGCAGCGAUGCCGCGUGCGGGAUGAAGGGGCUUUGCCUCGUAAACCGCUGUCGGAUGGGAAGAAAGGGUUCUUAGAGGACCUGGGACUGUACCAUAAGAGGAAGGGACGGCUAACUACGUGCCAGCAGCCGCGGUAAUACGUAGGUCCCGAGCGUUGUCCGGAAUUACUGGGUGUAAAGGGUGCGCAGGCGGCCUUGUGCGUCAGAAGUGAAAUAUCACGGCUUAACCGUGAGGGUGCUUUUGAAACGGCGAGGCUUGAGUACGGGAGAGGAUGAUGGAAUUCCUGGUGUAGCAGUGAAAUGCGUAGAUAUCAGGAGGAACACCGGUGGCGAAGGCGGUCAUCUGGCCCGGUACUGACGCUCAGGCACGAAAGUGUGGGUAGCAAACAG